GUGAACGCUGGCGGUAGGCCUAACACAUGCAAGUCGAACGGCAGCACAGUAAGAGCUUGCUCUUACGGGUGGCGAGUGGCGGACGGGUGAGGAAUACAUCGGAAUCUACUUUUUCGUGGGGGAUAACGUAGGGAAACUUACGCUAAUACCGCAUACGACCUACGGGUGAAAGCAGGGGAUCUUCGGACCUUGCGCGAUUGAAUGAGCCGAUGUCGGAUUAGCUAGUUGGCGGGGUAAAGGCCCACCAAGGCGACGAUCCGUAGCUGGUCUGAGAGGAUGAUCAGCCACACUGGAACUGAGAUACGGUCCAGACUCCUACGGGAGGCAGCAGUGGGGAAUAUUGGACAAUGGGCGCAAGCCUGAUCCAGCCAUACCGCGUGGGUGAAGAAGGCCUUCGGGUUGUAAAGCCCUUUUGUUGGGAAAGAAAAGCAGCAGGUUAAUACCCCGCUGUUCUGACGGUACCCAAAGAAUAAGCACCGGCUAACUUCGUG
rnacentral:rRNA from 1 species